GCCCUGGUUGAUUAGUGGUAAAUCGCCCACAUACCAUGAGGUACCAGACAAAAAUUAUUGAUGCGAGAGACGGAGGUUCGAAUCCUCCUCGGGGCA